CUUCCUCUUUCCGCCAAACAAGAUGAUGGACUGACGUGACGUCGGCUGUGUCUCAUUAAUAUCUCCGGUUUUCAGGAACGCCCCCUCCGCUGUGGUUAGUCACAAUCGCAAUGCAUAAAAGGCCGCUAGCUGCGAACGGUAUCGAAGUUGAUAAUAAACGGCGAUAAAUGUCGACUUUUGACAUACAACCGUAUGUGUUGGAUUCUGGAACUGGACAGUCCGAAGUUUCUCAAGAAGGGGUCUCUUCAAGACGUCUCUCAAUGAGCUCUGAAAUAUGCCCCCUCGUGGCUGGGGCGAGUCUCAAAAUGACACCACAACAAUUCCAUUGGAUGACAGCUGCACAACGACUCGCAUCGCUGCUGUCAUAAAAGGUUAGCUCUUAUGAAUUCAAGAGUGGUCAACCUAAGCUGGGAGCUAAAAAUAACCUCUGCAGGAUCAAUGCCUGUAAAAGGAACCCGCAGGAUAAAAACCCACCUACGAGAAAGUCCUGAAAGGUCCACAGAAGAAUCACGGCAUGGCUCAUUGCGGAAGAAGAUCCAGAGAUCAGGAGAUGGAACGAUUCAAGGUCUCGCUGCUGUUUUAUCAGCUUCUCGAUCUCCGCGCCCAAAGUCUGAAGGUUCUCCUGGAAGUAAAGUCAUCGGUCAUUUAUAAAAAUGGUAAU